rnacentral:rRNA from 1 species
CAAUGGGCGCAAGCCUGAUCCCGCCAUGCCGCGUGUGUGAUGAAGGCCUUAGGGUCGUAAAGCACUUUCGCCAGAGAUGAUAAUGACAGUAUCUGGUAAAGAAACCCCGGCUAACUCCGUGCCAGCAGCCGCGGUAAUACUGAGGGGGUUAGCGUUGUUCGGAAUUACUGGGCGUAAAGCGCACGUAGGCGGAUUAGUCAGUCAGAGGUGAAAUCCCAGGGCUCAACCCUGGAACUGCCUUUGAUACUGCUAGUCUUGAGUUCGAGAGAGGUGAGUGGAAUUCCGAGUGUAGAGGUGAAAUUCAUAUAUAUUCGGAGGAACACCAUUGGCGAAGGCGGCUCACUGGCUCGAUACUGACGCUG